rnacentral:rRNA from 1 species
UGAGGAAUAUUGGUCAAUGGACGGAAGUCUGAACCAGCCAAGUAGCGUGCAGGAUGACGGCCCUAUGGGUUGUAAACUGCUUUUGUAUGGGGAUAAAGUUAGGGACGUGUCCCUAUUUGCAGGUACCAUACGAAUAAGGACUGGCUAAUUCCGUGCCAGCAGCCGCGGUAAUACGGAAGGUCCAGGCGUUAUCCGGAUUUAUUGGGUUUAAAGGGAGCGUAGGCUGGAGAUUAAGUGUGUUGUGAAAUGUAGACGCUCAACGUCUGAAUUGCAGCGCAUACUGGUUUCCUUGAGUACGCACAACGUUGGCGGAAUUCGUCGUGUAGCGAUGAAAUGCUUAGAUAUGACGAAGAACUCCGAUUGCGAAGGCAGCUGACGGGAGCGCAACUGACGCUGAAGCUCGAAGGUGCGGGUAUCGAACAGG